CCUACGGGAGGCAGCAGUGGGGAAUAUUGGUCAAUGGACGCAAGUCUGAACCAGCCAUGCCGCGUGCAGGAUGACGGUCCUAUGGAUUGUAAACUGCUUUUGUACGAGAAGAAACACUCCUACGUGUAGGAAUUUGACGGUAUCGUAAGAAUAAGGAUCGGCUAACUCCGUGCCAGCAGCCGCGGUAAU
rnacentral:rRNA from 1 species